GAUGAACGCUGGCGGCGUGCCUAAUACAUGCAAGUCGAGCGAACAGACGAGGAGCUUGCUCCUCUGACGUUAGCGGCGGACGGGUGAGUAACACGUGGAUAACCUACCUAUAAGACUGGGAUAACUUCGGGAAACCGGAGCUAAUACCGGAUAAUAUAUUGAACCGCAUGGUUCAAUAGUUAAAGACGGUUUUGCUGUCACUUAUAGAUGGAUCCGCGCCGCAUUAGCUAGUUGGUAAGGUAACGGCUUACCAAGGCAACGAUGCGUAGCCGACCUGAGAGGGUGAUCGGCCACACUGGAACUGAGACACGGUCCAGACUCCUACGGGAGGCAGCAGUAGGGAAUCUUCCGCAAUGGGCGAAAGCCUGAAGGAGCAACGCCGCGUGAGUGAUGAAGGUCUUCGGAUCGUAAAACUCUGUUAUGAGGGAAGAACAAAUGUGUAAGUAACUAUGCACGUCUUGACGGUACCUAAUCAGAAAGCCACGGUUAACUACGUG
rnacentral:rRNA from 1 species